rnacentral:misc_RNA from 1 species
AUUUUCAAAUUUAAAAAAAAAAAUGAAGGGCGGAAAAAGGAAAUAAUUGACAAGAUUGGAAAGAAAAUAACAAAAAAUAAGCAACAUGUACAUUGCUUGUUGAAAUUAUGAAGGAAUACAAAAACCUAACUUUCCAUUCAAACCAAAAUUGAAGCAAGCAACAACUAUAAAAAAAAAUUAUUAUUAUUAUUAUAAAGAGCAUAAGCUCUGGGGGAAAAAACUAAAGCAUAAGGUGACUUCAUAAUACCUAGUCUUUAUAUAUUGAUGAUCCUUCUAUGCCACACGAAAAAUGCACAAAG